GCAGUCGAGCCGCUCAGCUAGCUGAGUAUGGUGACACUUGCUCCCAUCGUCUAGGGGCCUAGGACACCGCCCUUUC
rnacentral:tRNA from 1 species